rnacentral:rRNA from 1 species
UGAGGAACAUGACCUUCGGCGGGGGAUAGCCGGCCCAACGGCCGGGUAAUACCGCGUACGACCACAUGGGACAUCCCUGAGUGGUGAAAGCAGCAAUGCGCCGAUGGAGUGCCUCGCGGCCUAUCAGCUAGUUGGUGAGGUAACGGCUCACCAAGGCGACGACGGGUANCUGGUCUGAGAGGAUGGCCAGCCACAUUGGGACUGAGACACGGCCCAGACCUNUACCGGGGAGG